rnacentral:rRNA from 1 species
CGAUGAACCACACUUCGGGUGGGGAUUAGUGGCGAACGGGUGAGUAACACGUGGGCAAUCUGCCCUGCACUCUGGGACAAGCCCUGGAAACGGGGUCUAAUACCGGAUAUGAGCUUCCACCGCAUGGUGGGGGCUGUAAAGCUCCGGCGGUGCAGGAUGAGCCCGCGGCCUAUCAGCUUGUUGGUGAGGUAACGGCUCACCAAGGCGACGACGGGUAGCCGGCCUGAGAGGGCGACCGGCCACACUGGGACUGAGACACGGCCCAGACUCCUACGGGAGGCAGCAGUGGGGAAUAUUGCACAAUGGGCGCAAGCCUGAUGCAGCGACGCCGCGUGAGGGAUGACGGCCUUCGGGUUGUAAACCUCUUUCAGCAGGGAAGAAGCGAAAGUGACGGUACCUGCAGAAGAAGCGCCGGCUAACUACGUGCCAGCAGCCGCGGUAAUACGUAGGGCGCGAGCGUUGUCCGGAAUUAUUGGGCGUAAAGAGCUCGUAGGCGGCUUGUCGCGUCGGUUGUGAAAGCCCGGGGCUUAACCCCGGGUCUGCAGUCGAUACGGGCAGGCUAGAGUUCGGUAGGGGAGAUCGGAAUUCCUGGUGUAGCGGUGAAAUGCGCAGAUAUCAGGAGGAACACCGGUGGCGAAGGCGGAUCUCUGGGCCGAUACUGACGCUGAGGAGCGAAAGCGUGGGGAGCGAACAGGAUUAGAUACCCUGGUAGUCCACGCCGUAAACGGUGGGCACUAGGUGUGGGCAACAUUCCACGUUGUCCGUGCCGCAGCUAACGCAUUAAGUGCCCCGCCUGGGGAGUAC